rnacentral:tRNA from 1 species
GCCUGGGUGGCUCAGUCAGUGGAGCAUCCAACUUUGGCUCGGGUCGUGAUCUCCCGGUCCGUGGGUUCGAGCCCCACGUCAGGCU